rnacentral:lncRNA from 1 species
CAAGCCAUACAUUCAGGACCUCUGACAUGGUGUCCGCCAGUUUUUCCUCACUGUUGAUACCAGUAGAAAACUGCUUUUUUAAUCACUGCCUAACAAAUUGGAAAUUGCCACAUUGUUUUGUUGAGUAAAUAGCCCUCAUCUGCUUGCCUUCAAAACUGUAACACCUUCUACCACUUGGCUGUUAGCAAUAGCUGUAAUAAUAGCUAGCACAGAAAUACACUGGAUGGUUUUGACAGCAACCAUGAAAACACUCGGUAUGCAAAAGGGGCUUACUGCUAUCUGCAUCAUUCCAGCUCCCUGAACGGAGGAAAGGCAACAUACCUCUGGAAAGAUGGAUUUUUUUAUGCUUCAAAAUGAAAUGCUUCUCAUUGUGAUGUAAUGGGGCUAUUCUGGUCUUGCUGUGCACUCUCUGUUUACAUUUAUUACCUUACAGAAUCCAAUUAUCAAAGUGGAAGCUUAUUCAAAGUACAUAGUGUGGUGAUUAAUUUAAAUGCUACAAGGAAUCCAGGACAUGAGGGAGAAGCCCAUUCCAGCUACCCAGCUCCCAGCGUGGGCAUGCAAUUAGCAAAGCUAAUAUACACGUAUUAUGUCUCUAUGCACAUACACAGCAUUUGUAACAUGUAAAUCUCCUACACGUGGCCUACUGGUAUUUUAGAUAUUCCUGUUUACAUCAUCCUUAUAAAAGGCAGAAGUGGCUAAGGGUGUGCUACAGCAGUCCACAGCAUUUCUAUCGCUGAUUUGUAUCUGCUCACAUAUCGCAGUGCAAAGUAUUUGUAUUGCUUUGCCUGAAGCUUUUGGAUGCAAUCAAUAGCUGUCCAUUAAGUGCAUUUCACAAAUGCGCUGUAGCUUUUGGAAUCAAAACCUGGCACUGUGACGUGUCUUUCCUCUGUUCCUGGUCAAAUCGAGACACUGAAUUCCAACCAUAAAAAUGUAACACAAUGAUAUACUGUGAAUACAGCCAGGCUACAAAUAAGUCUAUGUAUUGCUACCUACAGACAUCUUUUAAAUAGGUCUCUGCAGAGUCUUUUGUGUUUUUAAACUCUGCUCAGCACUUAAUAGCUUCUGCUUUAAUACUGCUAUGAAGUAUCUUUAAAGGAGAAAAAAAAAACCACUGUACUUUUUCUUUUGGCCGGUGUUUUCUAGGUUCUCAGAGGUGGUGUUUGGAGCACCAACAGUGCACCUUUCCAGAUGGAGAUAAAGCAGACUGUAAGCCUUGGAGAUGGUCAGAGCCCCUAAAUACAUGUCGUGCUCUAGAAUUUACUCAGCAGCAGGGGGAUCCAGAGCAAUUUCCAGAGAUGAGUCCCCUUCACAGAGUGGCUUUGCAGCCACCUCUCCUUAGCCCCAGC